UACAGAGGGUGCGAGCGUUGUUCGGAAUUACUGGGCGUAAAGGGCUCGUAGGCGGCCAACUAAGUCAUACGUGAAAUCCCUCGGCUUAACCGGGGAACUGCGUCUGAUACUGGAUGGCUUGAGAUUGGGAGAGGGAUGCGGAAUUCCAGGUGUAGCGGUGAAAUGCGUAGAUAUCUGGAGGAACACCGGUGGCGAAGGCGGCAUCCUGGACCAACACUGACGCUGAGGAGCGAAAGCCAGGGGAGCAAACGGG
rnacentral:rRNA from 1 species